rnacentral:tmRNA from 1 species
GGGGGUGUACAGGAUUCGACAGAGCCAUGUUGAAUCAUGGAGCGCAUGCCGGGGUGCGGUAGCCUCGUUAAAAAUACCGCAACAGAUAACUGCCAACUACAGUUACGCAUACGCUGCCUAAUUGAGCAGCACGCUCCUUUUCAGGGUGCUCCUGCCUGGAAAGAGGGCGUCAUAUACAGGAGCUGGGAUUUAGAAUGUGUCCCCGGUUCUAAAGCCGAGAAUUACUGGGACUACCCUCGAAACACCUGCCUGUCGGUGUUAGAAAUGGGAAAUACGCUACAAGCGAAGAAGACAGGCUAAGCAUGUAGUACUCUGUGGUUCAAGGCCCCUGGACGCGGGUUCGAUUCCCGCCACCUCCAA